AUUGAACGCUGGCGGCAGGCCUAACACAUGCAAGUCGAGCGGCAGCGGGACCUUCGGGUCGCCGGCGAGCGGCGGACGGGUGAGUAAUGCCUAGGAAUCUGCCUGUUAGUGGGGGAUAACGCGGGGAAACUCGCGCUAAUACCGCAUACGUCCUACGGGAGAAAGUGGGGGACCCUCGGGCCUCACGCUAACAGAUGAGCCUAGGUCGGAUUAGCUAGUUGGUGGGGUAAGGGCCCACCAAGGCGACGAUCCGUAACUGGUCUGAGAGGAUGAUCAGUCACACUGGAACUGAGACACGGUCCAGACUCCUACGGGAGGCAGCAGUAGGGAAUAUUGCACAAUGGAGGAAACUCUGAUGCAGCGACGCCGCGUGAGUGAUGAAGGCCUUCGGAUUGUAAAGCACUUUAAGUUGGGAGGAAGGGUAUUCACCUAAUACGUGGGUACUUUGACGUUACCAACAGAAUAAGCACCGGCUAACUCUGUGCCAGCAGCCGCAGUAACAC
rnacentral:rRNA from 1 species